UUUUAAAAAAUUUAUUUUUAAGUUGAUUUUGAGCAUAAUUAAUUUUUCAGUAGAGAUAAGUCUAGUACAAAAAUGCUUUUCUGGAUCCUACUACAGAGGUCAUUUUUUGAGCAUUCACCAUAUAAGAAAUCCUGUUUGAAGUCUAGAGUUCUUUCAAAGGAGUUAAAACUGUAAUAUGGAUUUCAAAAGAUUCUGGAUCUUUGAAAUUAGACUUCAUAAAUUAUAUAUAUUUAAUAUCAUAUAAUUAGAGUCUAGCUCAGAAAUUUAAUGAUAAGAUCCAGAAUUAGAAGGGUAAGAAUUCUGAUUAGGACUGAACAGAUAAAGAACGUGUAUUAGUCCAUUUUCACACCACUAUAAGGAACCUAAGACUGGGCAAUUUAUGAAAGAAAGAGGUUUAAUUGACUCACACUUCUGCACGGCUGCGGAGGCCUCGGGAAACUUAUGGUCCUGGUGAAAGGCAAAAGGGAAACAGGGACCUUCUUCACAGGGAGGUAAGAGGGAGAGAAAGGGAAGCAAAAGUGCCACAGUUUUUAAACCACACAUCUCGUGAGAACUCACCAUUACGAGAACAUCAUGGGGGAAACCAUUCCCAUGAUCCAGUAACCUCCCACCAGGUCCCUCCCUCAACAUGGGGUGAUUACAAUUCAAGAUGAGAUUUGAUUGGUGACACAGAGCCAAACCACAUCAGAGGAGGCAUCUGGGAAACAUUAAGAGAAGGAAAAAGCAGCACAUGAAACAGUGUUUUACUAGAAGAGUUUCAGUAAUAACCUUAAUGUUUUAAAAAAUUGCUCUUGGGACCUUGACUACAAAAAAGACAAAUCCCUGGAAAGUGCAUCAUUUUCCUCCAAACAACAACAAGAGAAAGGCAUAUAUAACUUAAAAAGUCAGCUGUUUUUUUUUUUUUUACCCCAUCAUACAAAGUAGAUUUCAAAGCAAAGAAUGUUACCAGAGAUAAAGAAAGUAAUUUUGUAAUGCUGAAGUGGUCAAUUCAUCAACCUGACAUAACAAUUCCAAAUAUUUAUGCACCUAAUAAAAAUGCUUCAAAACACAUUUAAUAAAAACUUUUAAAACUUUAACGAGAAAUACACAAAUCAGUAAGUAUAGCGAUUUCAGCACCUUCUUUGAAUAGUUGGUAGAAUAUAAAGAAAAUCAGUAAGGAUACAGAAUGAUAUAGAAGACUUGAACAACACUGUCAAGCAACUUAACAUAAUUUACAUUUAUUAAACAUCUCUCCUGUCUUAGUUGGUUUUGUGCUAUAAUAACAGAAUACAGCAGAAUGGUGAUUUAUAAUUAACAGAAUGAAUUGACUCACAGUAAGCUGGGGAGUCCAAGAUAGAGGGGCCAGCAUGUGGUGAGGGCCUUUUUGCUGCAUCACUCCUAGGCAUCAGGUAGAAGAAUGAGAGAGGGAACAAACAAGACAGCCCUUCCUGUGACAACAAACCUGCUUCUGUGAUAAUGGCAUAAUCUGUUCAUGAGGAUAAUUUCCCCAAGACCCAAACACGUCCCAUUAGGCCUCAUCUCACAACACCACUGCAUUGGGGAUCAAAUUUUCAAUACAUUGAACUUUGGGGAACACAUUCAAACCAGAUUUAAACUUAACCAGGGAGGUGAGAGAUCUGUAUACUGGAAAUAAAAAAACAUGGAUGAAAGAAAUAAAAGAUGACACAAAUAAAUGGAAAGAUAUCAUAUGUUCAUAGAUUGAAAGAAUUAGUAUUAGUAAAACAUCUAUAUUACCCAAAGCAAUGUACAGAAUCAGUGUAAUCCAUAACAAAAUUCCAGUGAUGUUUUCACAGAAAUAGUAAAAAAGAAAAAAAAA